rnacentral:tRNA from 2 species
CGGGGUGUGGCGCAGCCUGGUAGCGCGCCUGCUUUGGGAGCAGGAUGUCGCAGGUUCGAAUCCUGUCACCCCGACCA